rnacentral:lncRNA from 1 species
AUGGCAUUUUCCAGUAAAUUUGCCUCUGCUUGUUUCUGUAUACAGCAAAAGAUUAUGCCUCUGAAGAAACUUCACAUGGUAUUUGCAGCAACUGAAGCAUAUACGAACAGUGGUGGGGCAGGUGCACAACUACAAAGGCAUAGGACAUACAACAUUGGUCAGGCCCAGGCAGAUGUCCCAUCCAGAGCUGCAAUAACGCCCCCAGGCUCAUGGGUGGGUAGAGAGUCCCAGGUGAGUCUGCUCAGGACCAUUAAUGCCAGUCAGUAUUCUCAGGGCACUGAUGUCCAGUUGUGUAUCUAUCAUUCAUGUAGCUUCUUCACCAAAGGGCUUUUAUAAAGCAUACUUCAGGGUUUUCUUUUCAUCAAAGGAUUUUGCUUAGGAUUUCCUAUCGUGGUUCAAGGGCAGAAAGGAAUUUCUCUUCCUUUUAUCAGACAAAAAAAGUACUAUAUCUUUAUCGUGGACAGAAUAAUAGAAACCUUAUUGCUUUACAAAAAGAGAAAAAAAAGUAACUAACACAAAAACUAAAUUCACUGCAGCAGUUAUAAUGUAAUGACACAGUGUAAUGAAUUUCGGGUAACGCACAAAGCAACUCUGGUCAUUAAAAUCAUUUUUCAUAAUUUUAAUUGCAUUUUCUUUCAUUUAGUCCAGGUCCAGUAGAGCUCUCCACCUCUUUCUUAAAUGAGCCUCUACUGAAAAUAGAUGGCUCAGAGUUGAGGAUGAACUUGUUCAACUUGUGGAUGGAUCGGCUGUUCCUCCCUGCAUUCCGAAGUCACUGCAGACACCUGCCUGUCCCUCGGUAGGCAUUUUCCAAUGAAAAAAAAGAGGAGCAGGCAGCAAGGAAUCAAAGCUAGAUGAGCUUUUUGGUUAGUCUGAGAACCACGACUGAGCUCAUUCUUCUGCUGGUUCCUGACCAAUGAGUGCUUAUGAAUAGCAACCUUGCUAUUCUUCAUGACAACAGUUAGUAAAAAGUCACUUGAGCUUUGAAAAUGUUGCUGUUUCCCUUUCCUCUGUUGUAAUAUAAUAUUCAAAUGAUGUGACAUGCAAAUUAAAAAGGUGGGGUUUUUUUGUUCCUUUGUUUGCUUGUUCCUUUGGUUUUGUUAGGUAGUUCAAAUCAAAAUGGCAUUUGAUUUAGACUAUAAUUACUGAAUCAGGGAAAGGUUACCCCACCCAUCUGCUUGUACAAGAUGAAUAUGCUGUCAUAUCUUGUGUAGUAACUUUUAAAUAUGAGUAUUUUCAAAUAAAGAAGAAAAAGCCACAGUUAAGAGGUGAACU